rnacentral:rRNA from 1 species
GGGGGAAUAUUGCACAAUGGGCGAAAGCCUGAUGCAGCAACGCCGCGUGAGGGAAGACGGUUUUUCGGAUUGUAAACCUCUGUUUUCGGUGACGAACAAAUGACGGUAACCGAGUAGGAAGCCACGGCUAACUACGUGCCAGCAGCCGCGGUAAUACGUAGGUGGCAAGCGUUAUCCGGAUUUACUGGGUGUAAAGGGCGCGUAGGCGGGGAUACAAGUCAGAUGUGAAAUCUAUGGGCUUAACCCAUAAACUGCAUUUGAAACUGUAUCUCUUGAGUGUCGGAGAGGUAGACGGAAUUCCUAGUGUAGCGGUGAAAUGCGUAGAUAUUAGGAGGAACACCAGUGGCGAAGGCGGUCUACUGGACGAUAACUGACGCUGAGGCG